rnacentral:ncRNA from 1 species
UUAAAGUUUAAUUUUAGCUUAAUAAUUUAUUGAAUAAUUUUUUUUAUAUGAAAAUUUUUGUAAGAAUAAAAACUUAUUUUAAUAAUAAGUAAUAUAUGAUUAAUCUCAGUAUAUAAUUUUAAAUAUUAAAGAAAUUUAGAAUUAGGAAUUUAUGUAGUAUGGACAAAAUUUGUGCCAGCAGUUGCGGUUAUACAAAUUAUACAGUUAAAUUAUAUUAGAAAUAGUUAAAUAAUAAUUUAAAUUAUGAAUAAAUAUAAUUUUUUAGGUGAAAUUUAAAAUUAUAUAAAAAUUAUUUAAAGUUUUUGAAUCUAAGAAAUUUUUUUAUUAAACUAGGAUUAGAUACCCUAUUAUUGAAAAUUAAAUUUUAUUAUUCUUAAUUAGUAUUAGUUAAGUUCUUGAAAAUUAAAAAAUUUGGCGGUAUUUUAGUCUUUUCAGAGGAACCUGUUCUAUGAUUGAUAAUCCACGAUUAGAUUUACUUAUUUUAUAAAUUUAUAUAUCAUCGUAAUAGAAUAUUUUAUAAGAAUAUAUAAUAUUCAUAAUUUACUAUAAUAAAAUAAAUCAGAUCAAGGUGUAGUUAAUGAAUAAGAAGAAAUGGGUUACAAUUAAUUAAUUAUUUAAUAUUAUUUUUUAAUAAGUAAUUGAAAUUGGAUUUGGAAGUAAUUUUUUAUAUAUUUUAAAAAUGAUUAAAGCUCUAAAAUAUGUACAUAUUGCCCGUCGCUUUUGUUUUAAAAUGAAAUAAGUCGUAACAAAGUAGAUUUACUGGAAAGUGAAUCUAGAAACAA